rnacentral:piRNA from 1 species
UUCUUCUGCCUCCAACACACC